CUGAGUUCGGGGGCAAUCCCAGUCCCGACCUCCAACCCUUUGUGAACAUAUCUUGUUGCUUCGGGGGCGACCCUGCCGUUCGCGGCAUUCCCCCCGGAGGUCAUCAAAACACUGCAUUAUUACGUCGGAGUAAAAAGUUAAUUUAAUAAAACUUUCAACAACGGA
rnacentral:misc_RNA from 1 species